rnacentral:rRNA from 1 species
CCUACGGGAGGCAGCAGUGAGGAAUAUUGGUCAAUGGACGCGAGUCUGAACCAGCCAAGUAGCGUGAAGGAUGACUGCCCUACGGGUUGUAAACUUCUUUUAUAUGGGAAUAAAGUGUUCCACGUGUGGGAUUUUGUAUGUACCUUAUGAAUAAGGAUCGGCUAACUCCGUGCCAGCAGCCGCGGUAAUACGGAGGAUCCGAGCGUUAUCCGGAUUUAUUGGGUUUAAAGGGUGCGUAGGUGGCUUUUUAAGUCAGUUGUGAAAGUCUGCGGCUCAACCGUAAAAUUGCAGUUGAAACUGGGAGUCUUGAGUACAGUAGAGGUGGGCGGAAUGCGUGGUGUAGCGGUGAAAUGCUUAGAUAUCACGAAGAACUCCGAUUGCGAAGGCAGUUCACUGAGC